GCCAGCUGGAAGAGUAUUCGCAACCAUAUACAAUGAAGAGUCACACUUCCAAGAAGAAAGCCGAUGUCCCACUUCAGCAUCAAAUCUAAGACACUGCAUUUCACUUUUUCUGUACAAAUAUCAUAAUCUGUUUGUUAAUCUCUUGGUUUUAUUUCAAAAAUGAAACUAUAUUUAGAGAGGGAACAAAUUCUACCAGUUGCUGUUGGAAGCAAAAGAUCUUUUUCAUUCUUGGAUGCUUUAUAUUUGGACAGAGAAAGAAUCAGAAUCCAUCCUUCUUUUUCCUAACCGGAAUUUGAGAGACAUGA
rnacentral:lncRNA from 1 species